rnacentral:rRNA from 1 species
GACGAACGCUGGCGGCGUGCUUAACACAUGCAAGUCGAACGGUGAAGCUCCAGCUUGCUGGAGUGGAUCAGUGGCGAACGGGUGAGUAACACGUGAGCAACCUGCCCCUGACUCUGGAAUAAGCGCUGGAAACGGCGUCUAAUACUGGAUACGAGAAGGGUCCGCAUGGGCACUUUCUGGAAAGUUUUUCGGUUGGGGAUGGGCUCGCGGCCUAUCAGCUUGUUGGUGAGGUAAUGGCUCACCAAGGCGACGACGGGUAGCCGGCCUGAGAGGGCGACCGGCCACACUGGGACUGAGACACGGCCCAGACUCCUACGGGAGGCAGCAGUGGGGAAUAUUGCACAAGGGGCGAAAGCCUGAUGCAGCGACGCCGCGUGAGGGAUGACGGCCUUCGGGUUGUAAACCUCUUUCAGCAGGGAAGAAGCGAAAGUGACGGUACCUGCAGAAGAAGCACCGGCUAACUACGU